rnacentral:lncRNA from 1 species
AUUUGAUUAAGAUUUGAUUAGGAUCUAAAUCAAAUCCUAUAAUCAAAUCUUAAAUCAAAUCCUAAUCAAAUUCUAAUCAAAUCCUAAAUCCUAAACCAAACCUAAUCAAAUCCUGAAGCCUAAAUCAAAUCUUAAUAAAAUCAUAAAUCAAAUCCUAAUCAAAUCCUAAAUCCUAAAUCAAAUUCUAACCAAAUCUUAAUCCUAAAUAAAAUUCUAAUCAAAUCCUAAUCAAAUUCCAAACUCUAAAUCAAACCCAAAUCAAAUCCUAAUCCUAAAUCAAACCUUAACCAAAUCCUAACCCUAAUCAAAGCCUAACCAAAUCCUAAAUCCUAAAUC